UUAUAAGAGACAGCAGUAGCCGCGGUAAUACGGAGGGUGCAAGCGUUAAUCGGAAUUACUGGGCGUAAAGCGCACGCAGGCGGUCUGACAAGUCAGAUGUGAAAUCCCCGGGCUUAACCUGGGAACUGCAUUUGAAACUGUCAGGCUGGAGUCUUGUAGAGGGGGGUGGAAUUCCAGGUGUAGCGGUGAAAUGCGUAGAGAUCUGGAGGAAUACCGGUGGCGAAGGCGGCCCCCUGGACAAAGACUGACGCUCAGGUGCGAAAGCGUGGGGAGCAAACAGGAUUAGAGACCCCAGUAGUCCCUGUCUCUUAUAC
rnacentral:rRNA from 1 species